UAUACUAUUCUGGUUGGGAAACUUGCUUGAUAUGAUUUCAGUCUUCUUAAAUCUGUUAAACUUGUUUUGUGGCCUUAUAUAUGAGCUAUCCUUGAGAAUGUUUUGUGUGCACUAGAAAAAAAUGUGUUUUCUGUAGCUUUUAGGUAAAAUGUUUUAUAUCUAUCUUUUAAGUCCAUUUGGCUUAUUGUAUCAUUUAAGGCUAAUAUUUUCCUACUGAGUUUGUCUAGAUGAUCUACCCACUCAAGUAACUGUGGUCUUGAAGUCCCCCAGUAUUAUAGUAAUGCUGUCUAUUUCUCCAUUGAGGUCUGUUAAUACCUGAUUUAUAUAUUUAGGUGUUCCUAUAUUGAGUGCACGUGUAUUUAUGGUUGUUAUAUCUUCUUGAUGUAUUGAUUGUUUUAUCAUUAUAUAAUGCCCUUCUUUGUCUCUUAUUUUUGGCUUGAAGUCUGCCUUAUCUCAUACAAGUGCAGCUACUCUGUUUUCUAUGGUAUAUCUUUUUCCAUCCCCUCAGUUUCAGUCCGUGGGUGUCCUUACUUCUGAAGUGAGUCUCUUAUAGGCAGUAUAUACAUGGUUAAAUGCAUUUAAAAUUUCAUACUAAAUUCUUAACACUGAUUUUCUCUGAAGAAAAUAACAGAAAUAUUUGGGUAUGGAUUAUAAGAGGAUCCUGAAGGAGUACUGUACCUUUUUAUUCUAUUUGUUUCUACAGAAUCUGAAUUUAUUGACAAAGAGAUUUUUGCUUAUAAAUAAAAAAUACAUAUCUAAUGAUAGACUAAUACCAAGCAGGAGAGGAUUAAAAUGAUAUAUUGUGAACAACUUAUGGUUAUUCCACUAGUAUCAAAUAUUUAUGUGCAUAUUAUUUAUGAUUUUAUAAAAUUAGCAGCCAUUUACUGAGUGCAUCUCUCCCUAAGCUAAAUAUUCUGCAUACCUUAAAUCUACAAGCUAUGGGGUGAAAGCAGUUAUAAUCUCCAGUUACAUCUGAGCAACCUGAGGCUUAAAGAAAUAGUCUGCCCAAUUUAUACUUAGUAUGGGGCAGAGCAAGGCUUGAAAGUCCCAUGUUUAUAAUUAGUUAAAUGUUAAUGCUAAUCCCUAAUAUUCAUAAGAAGGGCAACAUAUAGAACUAUCUUUAAUGCAAGUUACUUGAUGAACAGCCUUGUAAAAUAGCAGUUUUCACUAUCUUAAUUCAGAUGAAAACACUCUGGAAGUGACUUGUUCUAAAUUACACAUGUGUAAGUAAACUAGAACACAAAUUGUUCUGAUUGUAAAUGAUAGGACUUUUCUAAUUUCCACCAAGGAUCCACAGUUUAAGAGAUAGCUUGAAACACUGGAGACUACCCAAAAGAAUGCUUCCAAGAAACCAUGACAUGGAGGUCUAGCUAGAAAAGGAGGCUAUUCCUUUAGGGGAAACAUGAGAGCCAUCUUCAAAAACAUAAAAUAUCUCCUAAAAUGGAAUGGACUUCCUCAAGAAGUAGUAAGCAUCCCAUCACUGGAAGAUUCAAACAGAGACUGGAUAACUACAUACAGGCAUACCUUGUAGGUACUGCAGGUUCUAUUCCAGACCACCGCAGUAAAGCCCGGUUUGCUGUAAAGUGAGCUUCACAAUCUUUUUGUUGGUGGAGGGUUUUGCC